UUAUGUCUUAGCAUACAAAUACAACAUGACGUGAAAUUAAUCAUGACAAUGUGGUUUUGCCAUAGGAUAGGCAAAUAGAUCAGUGUAACAGAAUAGAUCAGGAGUUGGCAAUCUUUUUUUCUGAAAGGACGUAUAGCAAAUACUUUAUUUGUUGCAGGCUAUACAAUCUCCAUCACAACUACCCUGUUAUAGUGUGAAAGCAGCCACAGAUGACAGUUAAAUUAGUGUAUCUGUGUUCUAAUAAAGUUUUAUGAACACUUAAAUUUCAAUUUCACAUAAUUUUUACAUCAUAAAAUAUUCUUUUGAUUUUUUCAACCAUUUAGAAAUGUAAAUCAAAAAUAAAAACACCAAAAAAAAAAAAAAAAAAAAAAAAACACCUAUCCUAGAUUACAAGCCACACCCAAACAGGUACAAAAUGGAAAUUUGCUUGAGGGAAGUGGAAUGAUUUAUAUUUUGACUGAGAAUUAAAUAAGGCCAUUUUACCUUGAAGGGCUUUUAGAUAAGACAUCCAAAAUAGUAGGUCAUGGUAAAGGGUGUGAGAGAACAGAAUGAACCACUGAAUGGGGGUGGCCAUAGGGAAUGUUUUUAAGGAAACACCUUCUCCCUGCUAUGUGACCCACCAGAAUUGAACAAGGGGAAAUGAUGGUGGUAGCAGGUCAGUUUGAAAUGAACCUUCACGUAUUAUUUGGGUUGGGAAAAUCCCCUCUCUCCAACCACACCUUGGCCACUCCAGCACCACCACCCCCACAGAGGUGUCAGCGCUUUGUGAUGUCCAAGCCACCCCAGGACUAUCAUUGGAUAGCGGUGCUCCUUUCUGACCAAACAAAGCUGAAGGGCGGGGCUCUAAUUACCCGGGGGGUGGGUAUAUACAAGGAGGUCAGGAGCGUGGGGUAGACCAUUGGGAGGCUUAAAUAUGGCUAAGGAGACCUACACACCAGUGAAGCCUAAAAAAACAAUGAAACAACCAAUUAUUAGCACGAAAAAGCCAACCCCAAGAACCAAAAAGAAGAAGGAAAAGAAGAAGGAAAAGAAGAACUCUUGUCAACAAAAGACCAACAAAAAUGGCAAGGUGGAGAAGAAAAUCACAAAGGUAAAAAAACCCCUUCAAAGAAAUUCAAGAAAAAAACCUCGAUCACCUCCUUCCUGCUCAAAAAAGCCUAGGAAGACAAUGAGCCCAGCAGCAUUUGUGUGUCAUCACAAGCAGAAUAAGACACAAAAUGAAAAUCAGAAGAGCAAGUGCAAAAAACCCCAGGAAGUAGAAAUCAGAAAAGCAAGCAUAGAAGACACUGGCAACGUCAAGCCAUCCCAAGUAACCAUCUCUGCUGCCAGUAAAUGCAGAGCCUGGAUCAGAAACGUAGAACUAGCAACAGCAUCUCCACAGGUGGCUCUGGGGAAUCGCCAAUCACAUAAAGGCCAAAUCUGAGAGCAACAGUGUUCACCCAUGUUGAAUGCAAUAAAAUAAACACGAUGCAAAAAGAUGAUGUGGAUGUUUGCCUGUAGUAGGGAGGGGGUUAAGGAAGAAAAAACGUGAGACGGGAGGGAGGCGGAGUCCUCCAAGGUUGGGCGCCAGACCAACAGGUAUACAGUUAGCCACUGGGAGAUAAGGAGCAGGCGAGGACUGAGAAGGAAAUGAAGACGAGUCAACGCUUUGUCCCACAGACAGGAAGAAAAAGGGCUUCGGUAUUUCUACAUGUAUUUAGGGUAGGUGUGGGUAGCAACAUCAAGGUCUAAAUUCCCAGAACCCAGGUAAAGACAAAGAACUGCUGAAGGUACCUCAGCUCUGUGGUUCUGUGUAAUCACUUGCUUUGACUGAUGUCUAAAUCAGUGAAACAAAGUGUCAAAUUUAAGGAGUAAAAUGUGGGGGACAAAGACAGUUUUGCUACAUUUGAAAAUAAAAUAUUUUACUGGAUUUGAACAA
ensembl:lncRNA